CCUACGGGUGGCUGCAGUGAGGGAUAUUGGUCAAUGGGGGAAACCCUGAACCAGCAACGCCGCGUGAGGGAAGACGGUUUUCGGAUUGUAAACCUCUGUCCGCAGUGAAGAUAAUGACGGUACCAGAGGAGGAAGCUCCGGCUAACUACGUGCCAGCAGCCGCGGUAAUACGUAGGGAGCAAGCGUUGUCCGGAUUUACUGGGUGUAAAGGGUGCGUAGGCGGCUUUGCAAGUCAGGAGUGAAAUGCAUGGGCUUAACCCCGGGACUGCUUUUGAAACUGCAGGGCUUGAGUGGAGGAGAGGUAGGCGGAAGUCGUGGUGUAGCGGUGAAAUGCGUAGAGAUCAGGAGGAACACCAGUGGCGAAGGCGGCCUACUGGGCUCUAACUGACGCUGAGGCACGAAAGCGUGGGUAGCAAACAGGAUUAGAUACCCCGGUAGUC
rnacentral:rRNA from 1 species